AGAGUGGUCAGGGAUUGGAACGUGCUGCCCAGAGAGGUGCUGGAGUCACCAUCCCUGGAGGUAUUUAAAAGACAUGUUGAUGUGGCACUUCAGGGCAUGGGCAAGGAAGCAUGGUAGUGUUGGGUUGGUGGUUGGACUUGAUGAUCCUAGAGGUCUUUUCCAAACUUAAUUAUUCUAUGAAUUAAAUGUAAUUAGAAUGCCCUGGUUCUGUUGCUGAGUAGCCUGUGAGACACUCCAGCCAGAAUCACAAAACUAGAUGUCUACACAAGCACCAGUUUCAUGAGGGAACCAGUCUGAGCUUGAGCCAAGCAUAUAUCCUGUGCUAGAGCUGGAACAGCAUCUGACACAUGCAAAUGUGUUUUCCCAGCUGAAAGACAAUAGAAAUCAUACAUCUGAUACCACACUGAGAGCCAGCCAUAUGGCAAACAAAUGGAGUGGCAUGUUUACGGGUGUGUGGUAUCAUGGUAGUACAUCGCACUGUUCUAAACUGCCCUUGCCCAGUCCUGUUUCUGUUGGUACAACCAGCAAAAAAUCUAUUGACUAUUGAAGCAGUAUUAUAGGAGAGAGGAAAAUAUAGUUGUCAUUCUCACAGAUCAUUGUAGUUUAAUACAGAAGGUGCCUGUAUGAACCUUCCAUGUUUUGAUUAUUCCUAGAAUAUUUGUAUCAAGAUACAUGAACUUCAUCUCAUUUUGCCAGGGCUGCCCAAUUAUGCAGUCCUUUGAACAGAGGUUUGUUAACAGAGGUCUGUUCAAAUGGAGUAGUCUUAAAUGAUGUUUUUCAUUUGAAAACACAGGUCUUUUUAUACAUAUGACAGGAAGAGAACACUGCUCGGGAAUCUGUACAUCCUUUCUAUUUCUCCUUUCCCUUUGUUUUCAGGAAAAUUAUAUUCAGCCUAUGGAAACAUGGCCCUAACCUGAACCAUAUUUCCGAAAUGCAAACUUUUUUUUCAACUGAAAGAUAACAUAUGGUAUGUAUGUGUAUUCAGAAGUCUUCAGAAAGUGGAACUUUAAUAAUCGCUACUGGCUGUGUAUUGAUAAGCUAAACUCUUGGACACUCAUUUCUUCUAACACGACUUCUAUAGUUUGUCCAAAGGGCCUGACGGUGAUUUUUGUAAAAGUAGUGAAAGUACGUCACUGAAUUCAUGAAGACGCUAGUGGGAGACAGUGGGAGUCUGUUGCUGACAGUGGUUCCUGCUUCCUCAAGCCUGGGAGGCUCUCAUUUGCAACUGGGCAGUUCUUUCAAAAUACUGCCCUGAAAAGGCAGGAAUGGCUGAUUCAAAAUUACUUGUGGAUUUGAUAUGAAAUAAUUAUUUUCUUUGGGAGGAACCCACUCUCGAGUGGCUUUUUUCCUGAGCUAGAUUCACAAGUCUGACAAUUGCAUUGCUUUUUCCUACUCUAGCAGUUCCCAUUUCAUCCUAAUUCUCAGUGCUUCAGGCAUUCACGUGAAAUGCAAGACAGUCUAGGUCCAGGUCAUCUUCUGCUGGGAAGGCUUCAACUAGCAUUUUGUUCUCCAAAAAAUGAGCUGCAAGUAAUUGUGCUAAGAGCAUAUUCUGGGCAUGUCUGUUUGCAACAUUCAUCUUCAUUUUAAGGAAUUACUUAAAUACUUUUUGGAGCAGAGGCCCAAGUGUAAUACCUUCCAGGUAGUUGUCCUGGCCUGCAGACUUGAGAGUAAUUUUUCUUUGCGGUUUAGAAAUGAAGCAUUAUUCAACUAUUAAAAAAAAAACCACACCACCAAAACACAGUAACUUCAGGAUUGAGUGAGGAAACCUCAGUUUCAGAAAACCCCACAGCCUGCUAGUGCUAGUUAGUGCACACUCAUGAGAGGUAGACCUGAUAGAAACCACCCUGCUCCAUAUCCCUGCUCCAAACCAAAGACCAGGUAGGAUCUUGAGUCUCCUCCUUCCCCACUGGACUGGGAAUGCUGUGACUUCAAAUUCCCACUGAUGAAAGAGCACAUUAAACCCUGCUCUGCCAUGCUCACAGCAACGAUGGACAGCAAGUUGAAGGGGCUGCUGGAAUAGUCGCAGCACUUUCGUGACUCUAGUCCUGCUCUGAGCAUAAGGCUCAGACUAGUUAGAUGUUCUGCAUUGCUUUGUUCAGUUCAAAGUGUUUUAUGUACUUGGAGGGUUUCACUCAGCUGAUGAUAAAUUAUCAUCAAAAUUAUCUCAGGGACUAAGUAAAGGAGGAUAAUCUAAAUGCUGUUUCACUGUGUUUUUGAAGUCAACAGUCGAACAAAUUGGUGCUCCUGUAUCCCUUGCUUUGAUACAUGCAGAACGCUCCCAGAAGCUCAAAGACAGGACAUGUUAUUUUCUUCUAACAAAAAAAUUUGCAGGAGGAUACAUGCUGUGUGAAGUUAUUUUUCUUUUUGCAAAGAACAAUAAAGGCAGCACAGUUGCGCAGAAUAAAUCUGUACCUGUUGCGGUGUUUGUACUGUGGCUAUUUAAUGAUUCACUUCACAUAGGUAGAAUUAUUUUCAAAUGUUGCCUAAAUAUAACGGUAUUUGCUACGGUGUGUGGAAGUUCCUGGUCUUUCAGCCAGACUCAGCAGUGGUGCGUGUGUGGCACAGUUCCCCAGAGUUUCACUUCACAUUGGACAGAGAAUUUGAGGUGUGUCUUUAAAUUGCAAAGUUCCUCUGGUUUGAUCCACCCAUUAAAUGAGAAUGGCAAAGCUCCCACCAACUUCAAACCCAACCUUUGUUAUAAUUAUCAAAUGUUGAUUAGUUAACAGCUCUGAAAAUGGGUGUAUUGGCUAUAGCUGAGCUCUGACAGGGAGAAGGAAAAGCUUAAGGGACUUUCUGGAAUAAGAUCACAAAAUGUUUUGGUCUCUUCAGCAUAAACACCAGACUAAGCAUAACUGUUGCAAAGUAACUGUUCCUGAUCUUUCUGCAUUUCUAUUGUUUUUUCCACCGUGUUUUGGGAAAGCCUGAGAUAAGGAUAAUUUUUUUCCACUGGGACUCCAAUCUAUUUAUAGUUUACAAGGCCAGGCGAGACUCUUACAACCACCUCGCUUGACCUCUUGGUGAACAGAAGCUAUAGGACUUCCCUUACUUAAUUUGUGUUUGAAGUAGAACUCCUUUUAGGAACAAGAGAUUGCAACUUCUGGGAAAUCCCCCCACAGCUCUUGGCAAACUAUUCCAACAACGACUACCUGUUGUAGAAAUGUUUUCAGUGUAUGAAAUCAGAGUUUGUUUAGCUUUGGCUUCUAGCCACUGGACCUUAUAUUUAAUAAGUCCUCUGUUAAGGGUGAGUUCCCUUCUUGCCAGGUGUCCUGGAAUCUAACUGUUCCUUAAACACAUAAAUAAUCUGGAGUCCUGCCCACCACAUUGUCUUGUUUCCUGUUCUUCCUAAGGUUUUCCAUAGUCACCUAAUAACCACCUUAAACUGUGAACACCAGCACUGGACCAAGAAAAACUUGCGAAAGUACUAAUUGCAGAGGUAAUAUUUUUCCCUGGGUUUUAUACUCCCGGCCAUCACAUACAGACUGCAUGCUCACGCUAUCAAACAUGUGCUUGAACCUAUGUUCGUGCUCAGUUCACUCCCCAUCCACGUAGCUCGCAUGCCAGUGUGACUUAGACGUUGGACUUCUGACAGAUUCUCAGUCCCGUGGGUAUCUUAAGAGGCAAAGCAGGGUUUGAGGUUGGUACCCCGUAAGCCUGCGCUAGGCUAAGUGCACUGCAGCCCGGUUUCCCAGUGGGUGUCCAACGCUAGACUUUUCCUAAGCACAGUAUAAAAACUAUGAGCCUGAACUGCAGUGGUGUUAUUAAGCAACAGCUAGGUGGAAAGGAUCAGGGCUGCUUCUGACAAAGCCUGCACUGCAGCUUCCCCGGCACCUUACAGAUGCUUGCCUGCAGGUUUGCUUCCUAUGGGGUUUUCCUUUGGGCUAUGGUUGUGCGAUUAUUUCUCACAGUGACAGGUUAAUUUCACUUGAUUAUCUAAUUAUUUUGAUAAAAUAUCAAUGGUAACUACUCUC